AUGUGUUAUUGGUCAUUUAAAUGU
rnacentral:siRNA from 1 species